rnacentral:rRNA from 1 species
CCUACGGGAGGCAGCAGUAGGGAAUAUUGGGCAAUGGAGGCAACUCUGACCCAGCCAUACCGCGUGCAGGAUGAAGGCCCUCUGGGUUGUAAACUGCUUUUAUCAGGGAAGAAACGCUAGGAUUUAUCUUAGCCUGACGGUACCUGAGGAAUAAGCACCGGCUAACUCCGUGCCAGCAGCCGCGGUAAUACGGAGGGUGCAAGCGUUAUCCGGAUUUACUGGGUUUAAAGGGUGCGUAGGCGGGUUGUUAAGUCAGUGGUGAAAGAUUCGAGCUUAACUCGGAAACUGCCAUUGAUACUGAUGACCUCGAAUACAGUUGAGGUAGGCGGAAUAUUACAUGUAGCGGUGAAAUGCUUAGAUAUGUAAUAGAACACCGAUUGCGAAGGCAGCUUGCUAAACUGUUAUUGACGCUGAGGCACGAAAGCGUGGGGAUCAAACAGGAUUAGAUACCCUGGUAGUCCACGCCCUAAACGAUGAAUACUCGACAUUUGCGAUAUACUGUAAGUGUCCAAGCGAAAGCGUUAAGUAUUCCACCGUGGGAGUACGACCGCGAAGGUUAGAAACGUUAAAGGUAAGUUAGGACGGACGUGAGACGUGACCGACGGACGACGACGAGGGAGGAGG